UUGAAAGCUUCGGCUUCUUUGAUGCCUUUGAACCCCAUCUGUUUACCUUUCCUCUGUUGCCUCCCGCCGGCGUGCGACCGCUUGCCGGCGGGAGGGGUUACCGAAACUACAUUCUGAUGUCAGUUACGUGCGAGUCUGAACCGAUCGGUAGAAUCGGAAAUGCUUCA
rnacentral:misc_RNA from 1 species